rnacentral:lncRNA from 12 species
GCCCCUGACUCUUCUUUCAGUCUCAUUGGUCCUUAUCUUCGUAUUUUGUUCAUGAUUCUCUUGUUUUAAGACAUAUUCCCUGAUCUCCUAAGACAUCCCAGCCUCUAUGAUUCUCCUUCCUAAUCUCUGUAGUAUCGCACCUGGCUGCUCUUACCCUGUUCUUGCCACUUCAUCUCUGCGUCUUGGUUCUGUUUCACCUGGAGGCCACCUCAGGCAGGAGGUGAAGUCUGUUCUGGGUUCAUGUACUCUGUUCUAGGUCCUUGAUGCUCACAGCGUGGCCUGGGCUCUAGUGGCGUUAGCCUCACCCAGCAGCUUGUUAGAAAUGGAGGAUCUCAGACUCUCCCCCAGACCUACUGAACCAGAAUCUGCAUUUUAACAGGAUCCCCAGAUUUUUGGCAUGUACAGGAAGUGACAGAAGCACCGCUGGAGGAUGGGGGAUGAAUAAUUUUCAUUGCAGGAAAAGCUUGCCAACCUUCUGAACUAGACCAAAUUUUACCCCUAUUGUAUGAACUAUGCUCAGGCCUGCUAAGGAGUUGGAGUUCAUCAUAGCCGCUGGCGUGGAUGGAUGGAUGGAUGGAUCCACUCAAAGAUGGAUAAGAAAAGUAGCACGGAAACAGGUAAGCAGUGCAGGAAGCGGAAGGGCAACUAUGGCAAGCGUCAGCCUGGGGUUGGGAAGAACGUUAACAGAGAGUAGCAACUGAGGGAAGAACACCUUAAAUUGUUACCAGAACUAAGUAGAAAUAAAGAAAUUCUCAUCUCAGAUACA